AGGUUGCAAUCACAGCCACACAUCCCUUGUUGGGAUUUGGUCCCUCUACUUUCCCUCUUUUCAUUUUCUCUAUUUUAGAUGGUUGAUUGUUAUUUCCUCUUAUAGCUAAAAAUGGUCCCAUGGUCCCCUGCUGAUAGGCUACUAGAGCCAGCUAGUAGGCUGUCGAACGGCAGGAGGACAGUCAUCGGCCCGUGCGCUCACGGUUCCAGCCCACGGUAGGUUCCAUAACGCGAACGGUUCCUAGCCCACGAGAAGUGUCAUUACUUUUUUUCUCGUCACUUUGGCUGCAUCCUCUGACGUUUGCAUACUCCUCCCCAUCACUGGCUCGCCAUGGCUUCCAGCACUCUUCUCUGAUGGCUACCGCCCCAUCCCCGCCCUCCGGCGACCAACCUCUUCCCGAGACCCUCUGCCAAACGAGGAGGAGGACGACGAUGCGUUGCUGGCCUUCCGGCCUCCCAAUUUCGUCGUCACCACCGUUGCAUCCGUCACUCCCCUGGUCAGAUCCGGUGACAUUGAGCACGGGGUGCCUCCCUCCGAUGCCGUCGCGACCUCCCCCUUCUCCACCAAGAACACCUUCCGCGAUGGGAUCUAGCCGGUGACCUCGAGCUUGCCCAGAUGCGGCCAAGAUCCUCCGCUAGCGCGGGCUUGUGCUCUUCUUACUUCCGGUGCUCGUGGUCGCCACACUGGGCCCUUCUUCAGCUCUCUAGCUGGCAACUGAUCUCCCCCACCUCCACCUUCCUCUCACUGGUGCUAGCCUUGGCGCUCCACUUCGACGAAGACCAACCUCCCCAACUGGACGGCGUGCGGUGGCCACGCACGCCAUCUGCCCGUCGCCGUGUGCCCCGUCCUUGUGCGAUACGCCGUGUCCCUCCUUCGGCCCCUCUCUUUCUCUCCUCUCCUGCAAGCUCUCCCUCCCAUCAUGAUGCUCUCUUCCCCGCACCACCACCAGCCGGAGGUGGACGGGAUCCGACCGAGGAGGGGCUGCCUCGUUCGCACCACACGCGUCCGGAGCUCGACGAGUGGACGACGGCGUCUUAGGGAGGCCAGCCCAACUCUCCACAGCAGAGCAGCAGCAGCACCUCGUCCUCAGGGACUCCGGGUCCUCUACUCUGACGUUGGCAUCACCAUGCUCUGCUCCUACGAGUGCCUCGACAUCCGGGUGGUGCAUUUUGCACGCGAUCGAUGAUCCACUUCCUAGAAUUAGGUGCUGCCUUUUUCCCCAUUAAAUUGGUGGUUAGAUUCGUGAGGCCAGAGCUUCCUCGUUCGUGCCCCGCCGCCCCUCUGCUGUGUGCCGGGUGGGCUGCUCCGGCAGGCAUGAUGAGGUCCUCGACAGGGAAUGCGGCUGUUUGCUCGGAGAGCUUGGCGUCCUGAUGCUUGGCGUUCAUCCCAUCUCUAUUCUUCUUUAAUUUGCUGCUGCUCGUGAUGACCUUUCUUAUGUUUGUGUUAGUUUCCAUCUAAGAGCUGCUAUCUGUCGGGCUGAACACUUGGUUUCAUGAGAUACCGAUUUAGUCCAUCAUAAAAAAUACUUUUGUUAUUCAAUUAUGAAGCGUUCAUCUAAAAAAAGAUAUAUGAAGAAGUGUUAUGGAAUUCCAGUAAAGCUGGAGGCCUACAAACUGGCUUGUCUCCAUAUUCUGUUGCACACGCCCGUGUGGUUGGUAUCAUCAUGGGAUUUUUUUUCGAGCUCCAUCUUUGCUUCCAUGUACUAUGCAGUUAAUAUUUCUUAUGUGGAUUUGGUAGCUCUAGAGCGAGAUGGUUGGAGUUGGCGAACAAUUUCAUUGUGCAAAUUUCAAUUAAAGAAACUUAAUUAGCAUGCUUUCUUUAGUGUGUGUAUUUUAGGUAUAGCUGCUUCUGUCUUUACUCUUUACAUGUCAAGAAAUUUUGACAAAAUUCAUACAUUUUAUUUUAGUUAGAAUAAAUUCAAGGAGAGAGCUUUAGUGUAUAAGUAACAAUUAUGUAAAUAUUCAUACUACUUGUUCCUAGCUUGGCGUUCUGUAUUGAAUUUUGUGACUGAAUAUCUAGGCUUAGAGCUCUGCAAAAUAUAUGCUUAGCGUUUAUGCAUUUUGCAUAUCACCUAUCGUAAAGUAGCCAUUAUCUUUUUACAACGCUCUCAUACAGUACAAGAAAAAAGGAACAUUGGUUUCACAUGGUCGGGUAGUUAGCAAAGACAUUCCGCGUCGAGCUUGGGUGCAGAGGUGAUCUGUCCUUUUAUCUUUUGGUGGCCGCUUCGGUGGUGUCGAAGGAAAGGGACUUUGCAUAUGAUUUUCCAAUCUUUUUAGUCAUGUAUGGUCGGUGCUUACGUGCCUUGUAACUUAAUCUUCAUUCUAUAUAAAUGAGACACAUAUUACCAUGCAAAAAAAGACAUUCCUAUUUACUCGGACCUACAAGCUAGAAAAUGCUAAAAAAACUUAGCUUAGCAACAUUAGGGCAACUCAACGUCGUGCACCAAACCGCCCCAAAACUUCUGGACUGUAUCCAACGCCAAGGCAAAAGAUAGAUGCGUUCGAAUUCCCACAAAUAGGAAGCAGAGCUGGGGUGGAUGGUAGGCAUUCGGACCUCCGCCAAUGUGUUUGGUUUAAUGAUAGACUGAUUAAACCGGUGAACGCCUCCCGUGUCCCAUGGGCGGCCCGGGAGAUACCCUAGGGGCCGCUGCCCAACACUCCCCCCCCCAUUGCCGCCGCCGAAGGGCGUCCUCGGGCAAAGCUCGCGUGGCGGCUGGGCCUGGUUCUCCCUUUCGUGAGGCGCUUGAGCGGCGUGGGCCUGCUCAGCUGAGCGGUGGCAUUGUCGAGCUAGCAGCGACAAGGGGCGGCUUCGUCGGGCUAGCGGCAGGAGGGACGGCGUGGUCGCGUGGGCCACGACGGAGACACGAGGGGGCAGUGCACGCAGAUCCUUCAGAGGCGAAGCUACGCUGACCUCGGUGCGGGAGACUAAGUUCUGGCACGGAUCUUCAUGUGUUUCUGCAUGGCUUCUGCGGUGAGGGUUGAGUCGACAUUCGUCUACAGCGUAGUCGGAGUUGCUAGCUCAGAGAUUAGGGGCAUCGAUGACAUGUGCUUGGGGAGAGGUGAUGACGAUGACAUGUGUGCGCUAGCUCGACAAGGCACUCUUUGUAAAGGUGUGUGUUGGGUAUCUUGUGUGUGUCGUUCAGUGGAUUGUGACAGUUUUCGCUCGGUUUUCUGUUAAUUAACAGGGCAAUUCUCUUCUGAUUA